rnacentral:rRNA from 1 species
CCUGGUUGAUCCUGCCAGUAGUCAUAUGCUUGUCUCAAAGAUUAAGCCAUGCAUGUCUAAGUACACACUUUGGUAAAGUGAAACCGCGAAUGGCUCAUUAAAUCAGCUACAAUUUAUUAGAUCGUACACUGUUACUUGGAUAACUGUGGGAAUUCUAGAGCUAAUACAUGCCGAGAGUCUCUGCUCUUCGGGGCAGAGCGCAGUUAUUAGACCAAAACCAGCCGUAUUCUUCGGGGUACGCUCUUUUGGUGACCCUGGAUAACCUUCAGCCGAUCGCAUGGCCUCGUGCCGGCGACGUAUCUUUCAAGUGUCUGCCCUAUCAACUUUCGAUGGUACGUGAUAUGCCUACCAUGGUGAUAACGGGUAACGGGGAAUCAGGGUUCGAUUCCGGAGAGGGAGCCUGAGAAAUGGCUACCACAUCCAAGGAUGGCAGCAGGCGCGCAAAUUACCCACUCCCAGCUUGGGGAGGUAGUGACGAAAAAUAGCAAUGCGGGACUCUAAGAGGCCCCGUAAUUGGAAUGAGUACACCUUAAAUCGUUUAACGAGUAUCAAUUGGAGGGCAAGUCUGGUGCCAGCAGCCGCGGUAAUUCCAGCUCCAAUAGCGUAUAUUAAAGUUGCUGCAGUUAAAAAGCUCGUAGUUGGAUCUGGGGCUUGAGGUCGCUGUCUAUCGUUUCGGCGAUGACGGUGAUGCUCAGCUCUGCUUGCCGGUGACUGUUGCGGUGUUCUUCACUGAGCGCUGUAGCAGCACGGCACGUUUACUUUGAAAAAAUUAGAGUGCUCAAAGCGUGCUUGUCGCUUGAAUAAUGUUGCAUGGAAUAAUGGAAUAGGACCUCGGUUCUAUUUUGUUGGUUUUCGGAGCUUGAGGUAAUGAUUAAGAGGGACGAACGGGGGCAUUCGUAUUGCGGUGUUAGAGGUGAAAUUCUUGGAUCGCCGCAAGCCGGACUACUGCGAAAGCAUUUGCCAAGAACGCUUUCAUUAAUUAAGAACGAAAGUCAGAGGUUCGAAGACGAUCAGACACCGUCCUAGUUCUGACCAUAAACGAUGCCGACCAGCGAUCCGUAGUGGUUGCUUUAUGGACCCUACGGGCAGCCUCCGGGAAACCAAAGUAUUUGGGUUCCGGGGGAAGUAUGGUUGCAAAGCUGAAACUUAAAGGAAUUGACGGAAGGGCACACCAGGAGUGGAGCCUGCGGCUUAAUUUGACCCAACACGGGAAAACUCACCCGGUCCGGACACCGUAAGGAUUGACAGACUGAUAGCUCUUUCUUGAUUCGGUGGAUGGUGGUGCAUGGCCGUUCUUAGUUGGUGGAGUGAUUUGUCUGGUUAAUUCCGAUAACGAACGAGACUCUAGCCUGCUAAGUAGUGUUGCUAUUG